rnacentral:lncRNA from 1 species
GCCACCUGAGCAGGCUAGGGGUGCCUGAGCAGACAGAUGGACAGAGCCCCAGAAUGUCAGGGCAAUGCUAGCUCACAUUGCUGGGGUUUGGAACACUUGAGUCCUCCUCCUCCUACUUUGUUCUGCUCUUCCCUUGGAAGAUUUAACACCUGCUUCCCCUUCUGUUGAGCUUUAUUUAUUUCUUGUCCAUAUCCUGGCCUCCCCCCCGCCACUUUUUCUCUGCUUUCCUUGGGAAUUCCUGCAUUUCUGGGUUUUCUCCAGUGGAAAAUGUUUUCUUUCUUUUUGUUUGUUUGGGAUUUUUUGUUUCAUUUUUCCUGUUUUGUUUGGGUUUGGUUUUUACUUGUUUUCAGUGGGGUUUUUAGGGGUUGGUUUGGUUUGGUUUUUUUUUUAUGUUGCAGGCACAGAGGCUGCAGUGUGUGUGCCAUCCCCUUUGGGCAUUUUGGGGUAACCCUGUCACCCUUCUGCAGCACUUGAGGCUUCCCUGUGUUCCCAGCACAUGGACAAGGUGUUUCUGCUUAUUUGCACUUCCCAGGUCCUGGAAGGCUGCAAAUACCAAGUCCUUGCUGUCUUUAUGAGGAAUUCACAAUUGACUGCACAUUCUGUGGUAUUUUGGUGUCCCAAAAGAAGAGAAUUAAUAUUCAUCAACAGCCUGAAAUGGGAAUUUGUAACAACCACCAAAAAAAAAAAAAAAAGAGAAAGAGCUUGUUUGAGAUCUGUAAUGAUAAUGUUCUUUCACAGCUGCUUUUGUGAGGGGGGAAUAAUUUAGCAGCACCAGAGCUGAUGUUGACUCUCCAGUUUGUGGUGAAAUUAUGAAGUGAAUGUUCCCUCCCGAGGACUCCAGAGCUGCUGAUGGGAGCUGGAGGCACACUCUGGAGAGAGCCUGGAGUCUGCUGUGCUGCAGGAUUGUAAAUUGCUGCAAUUUCACUGCACAUCCCAUGGAAAACAGCAUUCCACAAAAAAAGAAAUGAUGUGAUUUUUUUUUUUCUUUAAACUUUAGGAAAAUGAAUUUAUGCUAAAAUGGCCUUAUCUUUUAUUUUUGCCCCCUACAUAUAAUGUUGGAUCCUGUGUGACAAUUUAUCCUCAGAAACACUUUUU